GUUAUUAAACUGGACAGCCUAGGACUAAUCCUGCAGAAAUAAGAAGUAUUCCAAAGCACGUAUGCUGCAGACUGAACUACUACAGAAGUCUCAAGAAAAAACAGGUGCCUGAAUAUUUUGUCCUGGUCUCUGCAGUGGAUCCCUAGCAGCCAAUUGUCUCUGAGGUUUUGCCUUGAGAGGGAAGAAGGAAACAGAGCAAAUUGUCCCUAGGAAGAGGUAAGAAGGGACUAACGUUUGGGAAAUGGCAUGGAAUGACAAUGGGAGAUGAAUGAAUGAAGGAGAAUAG
rnacentral:lncRNA from 13 species